rnacentral:rRNA from 1 species
GACGAACGCUGGCGGCGUGCUUAACACAUGCAAGUCGAACGGUGAAGCGCCUUCCUUUUUGGUGGGUGUGGAUGAGUGGCGAACGGGUGAGUAACACGUGAGUAACCUGCCCCCUUCUUCUGGAUAACCGCAUGAAAGUGUGGCUAAUACGGGAUAUUCUGGGUCUGUCGCAUGAUGGGUCUGGGAAAGAUAUUGUUUCGGUGGGGGAUGGGCUCGCGGCCUAUCAGCUUGUUGGUGGGGUGAUGGCCUACCAAGGCGGUGACGGGUAGCCGGCCUGAGAGGGUGGACGGUCACACUGGGACUGAGGCACCGCCCAGACUCCUACGGGAGGCAGCAGGGGGGAAUAUUGCACAAUGGGCGCAAGCCUGAUGCAGCGACGCCGCGUGAGGGAUGGAGGCCUUCGGGUUGUGAACCUCUUUCGCCAGUGAAGCAGGCCUGCCUCGUUUGUGGGUGGGUUGACGGUAGCUGGAUAAGAAGCGCCGGCUAACUACGUG